CCUACGGGUGGCAGCAGUGAGGAAUAUUGGUCAAUGGCCGGAAGGCUGAACCAGCCAAGUCGCGUGAGGGACGACGGCCCUAUGGGUUGUAAACCUCGUGUAUAAGGGAAGAAGAAAUGCUACGUGGAGCAUGAUGCCUGUACCUUAUGAAUAAGAAUCGGCUAACUCCGUGCCAGCAGCCGCGGUAAUACGGAGGAGGCGAGCGUUAUCCGGAUUUAUUGGGUUUAACGGGUGCGUAGGCGGUUUUUUAAGUUAGUGGUGAAACGUCGGGGCUUCCCCUUGAUUUGCCAUUCAUACUGUCAGCCUCGAGUUCAGACGAGGUAGGCGGACUCCGUUCCGUCGCGG
rnacentral:rRNA from 1 species